rnacentral:rRNA from 1 species
GACGAACGCUGGCGGCGUGCCUAAUACAUGCAAGUUGAGCGCUGAAGGUUGGUACUUGUACCAACUGGAUGAGCAGCGAACGGGUGAGUAACGCGUGGGGAAUCUGCCUUUGAGCGGGGGACAACAUUUGGAAACGAAUGCUAAUACCGCAUAAAAACUUUAAACACAAGUUUUAAGUUUGAAAGAUGCAAUUGCAUCACUCAAAGAUGAUCCCGCGUUGUAUUAGCUAGUUGGUGAGGUAAAGGCUCACCAAGGCGAUGAUACAUAGCCGACCUGAGAGGGGGAUCGGCCACAUUGGAACUGACACACGCCCCAAACUCCUACGGGAGGCCGCAGUAGGGAAUCUUCGGCAAGGGAAGAAAGUCUGACCGAGCAACGCCGCGUGAGUGAAGAAGGUUUUCGGAUCGUAAAACUCUGUUGGUAGAGAAAAACGUUGGUGGGAGUGGAAAGCUCAUCAAGUGACGGUAACUACCCAGAAAGGGACGGCUAACUACG